CAAGGAAUUUUCGUCAAUGGGCGCAAGCCUGAACGAGCAACGCCGCGUGGAGGAUGACGGCCUUCGGGUUGUAAACUCCUUUUGGGGGGGACGAUGAUGACGGUACCCCCCGAAUAAGGCUCGGCUAACUCUGUGCCAGCAGCCGCGGUAAUACAGAGGAGCCAAGCGUUGUCCGGAUUGACUGGGCGUAAAGCGCACGCAGGCGGGUGCGCGCGUGGGGUGUGAAACCGGGCGGCUUAACCGCCCGCCGCCAUCCCAUACGGCGCGCCUGGAGCCAUCCAGAGGUCGGUGGAAUUGCCGGUGUAGUGGUGAAAUGCGUAGAGAUCGGCAGGAACACCCAGGGGGAAACCAGCCGACUGGGGAUGCGCUGACGCUGAGGUGCGAGAGCGUGGGGAGCGAACCGGAUUAGAUACCCGCGUAGUCC
rnacentral:rRNA from 1 species